rnacentral:rRNA from 1 species
UACGAAGGGGGCUAGCGUUGCUCGGAAUUACUGGGCAUAAAGCGCACGUAGGCGGCUUCUUAAGUCGGUGGUGAAAUCCUGGAGCUCAACUCCAGAACUGCCUUCGAUACUGGGAAGCUCGAGUCCGGGAGAGGUGAGUGGAACUGCGAGUGUAGAGGUGAAAUUCGUAGAUAUUCGCAAGAACACCAGUGGCGAAGGCGGCUCACUGGCCCGGUACUGACGCUGAGGUGCGAAAGCGUGGGGAGCAAACAGG